rnacentral:rRNA from 1 species
UAGGGAAUCUUCGGCAAUGGGGGCAACCCUGACCGAGCAACGCCGCGUGAGUGAAGAAGGUUUUCGGAUCGUAAAGCUCUGUUGUAAGAGAAGAACGUGUGUGAGAGUGGAAAGUUCACACAGUGACGGUAACUUACCAGAAAGGGACGGCUAACUACGUGCCAGCAGCCGCGGUAAUACGUAGGUCCCGAGCGUUGUCCGGAUUUAUUGGGCGUAAAGCGAGCGCAGGCGGUUUAUUAAGUCUGAAGUUAAAGGCAGUGGCUUAACCAUUGUUCGCUUUGGAAACUGUUAAACUUGAGUGCAGAAGGGGAGCGUGGAAUUCCAUGUGUAGCAGUGAAAUGCGUAGAUAUAUGGAGGAACACCGGUGGCGAAAGCGGCUCUCUGGUCUGUAACUGACGCUGAGGCUCGAAAGCGUGGGGAGCAAACAGG